rnacentral:rRNA from 1 species
UACGGGGGGAGCAAGCGUUGUUCGGAUUUACUGGGCGUAAAGGGCGCGUAGGCGGCGCAACAAGUCACUUGUGAAAUCUCCGGGCUUAACCCGGAGCGGCCAAGUGAUACUGUCGUGCUAGAGUGCGGAAGGGGCUACUGGAAUUCUCGGUGUAGCGGUGAAAUGCGUAGAUAUCGAGAGGAACACCUGCGGCGAAGGCGGGUAGCUGGGCCGACACUGACGCUGAGGCGCGAAAGCCGGGGGAGCAAACAGG